UGGGGAAUAUUGGGCAAUGGGCGCAAGCCUGACCCAGCCAUGCCGCGUGAGUGAUGAAGGCCUUCGGGUCGUAAAGCUCUGUGGGGAGGGACGAAUAAGCCAGGCGCUAAUACCGCCGGGCCUUGACGGUACCUCCUUAGCAAGCACCGGCUAACUCCGUGCCAGCAGCCGCGGUAAUACGGAGGGUGCAAACGUUGCUCGGAAUCAUUGGGCGUAAAGCGCACGUAGGCGGCCCGUUAAGUCGGACGUGAAAGCCCAGGGCUCAACCCUGGAAGUGCGUUCGAUACUGGCAGGCUUGAAUAUGGAAGAGGGUCGCGGAAUUCCCGGUGUAGAGGUGAAAUUCGUAGAUAUCGGGAGGAACACCAGUGGCGAAGGCGGCGACCUGGGCCAAUAUUGACGCUGAGGUGCGAAAGCGUGGGGAGCAAACAG
rnacentral:rRNA from 1 species